UGUUAAAAAAUUCAUCUAUUUCUAUUGUUAAAAACUGGCAUGGCUAACAGAAUAACUAGACAAUUACUUGUGGCACACCACAUGUACCUCAUUCUAACAUACAUGAACCAGUUUUUAACAUUAGAAAUGGAUAGAAUUUUUGACA
rfam:Gossypium raimondii Chr10_contig_20, whole genome shotgun sequence.